rnacentral:rRNA from 1 species
AUCCGGAGGGUGCAAGCGUUGUUCGGAAUUACUGGGCGUAAAGCGCGCGUAGGCGGUCUGUUAUGUCAGAUGUGAAAGUCCUCGGCUCAACCGGGGAAGUGCAUGUGAAACUGGCAGACUUGAGUACUGGAGGGGGUGGUGGAAUUCCCGGUGUAGAGGUGAAAUUCGUAGAUAUCGGGAGGAAUACCGGUGGCGAAGGCGACCACCUGGCCAGAUACUGACGCUGAGGUGCGAAAGCGUGGGGAGCAAACAGGAUUAGAUACCCCAGUAGUCC